UACGGAGGAUGCAAGCGUUAUCCGGAAUGAUUGGGCGUAAAGCGUCCGCAGGCGGCAGUUCAAGUCUGCUGUGAAAGACCGGGGCUUAACUUCGGAAAGGCAGUGGAAACUGAACAGCUAGAGUAUGGUAGGGGCAGAGGGAAUUCCUGGUGUAGCGGUGAAAUGCGUAGAGAUCAGGAAGAACAUCGGUGGCGAAGGCGCUCUGCUGGACCAUAACUGACACUCAGGGACGAAAGCUAGGGGAGCGAAUGGG
rnacentral:rRNA from 1 species